UGCAGGCACCCAGCAGAGACUCAUAAACUGACCUUGCUGGGGACACUCCCCCGUCUCUACGCCAAGAAUUAAGAAACAGAACACGAAACCACUGUGUCCUUGCUCAGGGCCGGUAUCACCAAGAAACAAGGUUUCCACUGUCCCACAGACACUUGCCAAGGCCCACCUUGCACUUCAGGUCCUCUCCAGACACAGCCAGCACCCGGGGGCAGAGCCUGGGACAAGCGAGCUCACUGCCAGGCACGCAGUGUUUCCGCGUCCAUGGGAACUGCAAGUCUUGGAGCCCCGGGGAACCCACUCCUGACUGGGCUGCCUGAGCACACGGAGAGGAGAACCUACCUGUCUGAUUCCAUAGUUGCACUGUGGACUCCCCAGGACCCUUGGCAUUUAAUCGGACCCACGUGGGAUAGGAAGAAAAAGAGUCUCGGCUGUGGGCAUUACAUGUUCCUGCUUCUGUGCGUUUACGUCAGCCUGGUGUAUCUCUUUUGAAGGAGUCUCAGUGUAUGGAGUAAUCGUGGGGGACAGUUUCACCUAUCGGAUGCCAAAUCUCCCCGUUGCUGUUCUUUAAAACACCUGCACGAAUGUCCUCAGUUUCCUAUCUCUUUGGGUUCCAGGAUGCUUGUGAAGGAAGAAUGAAAUGAACGACAAAGUCACGUUAACCAUCCCACAGAUGACAAUCAGGAAUCCUAGAAAAGAACACAAGAAAAAAAUAGUUUAAAAGUACUGGGAAGCAUCUCAAAGCCAGGAGAAGCCAAGAAGACUUAGCACUCCAGAAACAAUAGCCACAGGGGUAAGAGCUAAAACUUCCGGCUUUCUUACUGCACAGCACUCCCCAAGCUCCCCAGCUACUGUGGAGGAAAAUGACAGAUGGCCCUACUGCCUCAGCUGAAAUGACAGAGAAUAGAGUCUAGAUGUGGAGGUGCAGCUGCAAAAUUAAGGGGGACAAGGGGGCUUGGAAGCUAGAAGAACACAGAAGGCAUAGGACCAAAAAUAUUAUUGAAAAUGGAAGGCCAGUUGGUCCUUGUGUAUUGACGCUACCUCCAAGUUCACAGUCAAAUGAUGUUUUCGCACCGGCACCUUACUUCCACCCUGUUCUGCAUGUGCAUCAUUGAAUUCAAAAGAAAUUUGAGAGACCUCAUCUGGAAGAGAAAUCCAUACAUAUCUAUAUAUACACAUAUAUGUGUAUAAACACAUACAUAUCCUCCAACGAUCUCCCGCAUCCUCACUCUUAGCUGAUGACCCCUCUUUCUAAUUCACUGAGAAGAUGCCGUAAAAGUCCAUCUGAGUUAACCAAUUCAAAACGGAGCUACCCAACACCUUCUUUACUUUCAGUGUUUUGUACCACAGGGUAAUGGCGACUUUAUCCUCCAGUUGUUCCUGCCAUAGACUCAAGAGUGAGCCUUCACUCUGCCCUUACAUCCACCCCCACUUUCAACCUGUCAGAAAAUUCUGUGAUCUCUUGACAAAAUAUGUCCAGAAUCUGAUUACUUCUCAAAACGGUCACUGCUACUGUAACAGGGUGGUCCCCAGGAAAGGGGGAAGUUCCAGGUUCCCUGCCCCACCCAAGGGAGGGUGGAGCUGAGCAGGAAGAGGAGAAGCUGCAGAAGAGACUGAGGAAGGAAGCAGGAUGGAGCCAGAAGGAGACCUGGAGGAGGCGCAUGGAGCCUAGAGACACAUAAAGAAACUGCUUGUCUUUUGGUCGUGGACUGGGUGACACAGAUGUGGGUGAGACCCGUGGGGAGGUGACAAUGGCAGUUUUUAUCUUGAUGUUGAUUUUGCUCUUUUCCUUCCGGGCUUGUCCAGUUGUUUGUGACCCUUUUCUGUGGGUCCCCACUGGAAGAUGUUUUAGACUUGUGGUAGUCUUUGGGGCCUUGUUCUGGGCUGAUCCCAUAUGGAUGGACUUUUACCCACGAGGGGAUGGGUAACUUUGGGUGCUUCAUUUAGAAACUAGACUCUUUGCCUUACCUGUAUUGUUUCCUAGUUUUAUUAAAGUUCCUUCCCAUUAAAGUCUCAUGUGUUUUGUGUUGAUGCGGCGGAUGGCAGAACCCAUUUAGAAU